rnacentral:rRNA from 1 species
CAGUCGCCGCGGGAAUACGUAGGGUGCGAGCGUUAAUCGGAAUUACUGAGCGUAAAGCGUGCGCAGGCGGUUCGUUAAGACAGAUGUGAAAUCCCCGGGCUUAACCUGGGAACUGCAUUUGUGACUGGCGAGCUAGAGUAUGGCAGAGGGGGGUAGAAUUCCACGUGUAGCAGUGAAAUGCGUAGAGAUGUGGAGGAAUACCGAUGGCGAAGGCAGCCCCCUGGGCCAAUACUGACGCUCAUGCACGAAAGCGUGGGGAGCAAACAGGAUUAGAUACCCCGGUAGUCCCUGUCUCUUAUAC